rnacentral:lncRNA from 1 species
GGGAGAAGGUCGAGGCUAUUGAAAAAGCCCCAGCACCUAAAAAUGUGACUGAGCUCAGAGCAUUUUUAGCGUUGCUUUCAUACUACGGCAAAUUUAUGGAAAACUUGUCAACCGUAAUUAAACCCAUGACUGAACUAUUACCCAAGGACCAACCUUGGCAGUGGUCAAAGGCCUGUCAAGAGUCGUGUAAAGAAGCUAAAAAGCUGUUGACGUCAUCAAGUGUGUUGACACAUUUCGAUCCCCAACUUCCCAUAUUGCUAGCGUGUGAUGCAUCGGCAUAUGGAGUAGGGGCAGUGAUUUCGCAUUGUAUGCCAGAUGGUAUGGAAAAACCCAUUGCAUAUGCAUCGCGCACCCUUAGUAAAUCGGAAAUAAACUAUUCCCAAAUUGAAAAGGAAGCCUUGGGUAUUAUUUUUGGGGUGCAGAAAUUUAGGGACUAUUUGUAUGGUAGAAAAUUUCUGCUCAUCACCGAUCACCAGCCUUUGGUUAAGAUUUUCGGGCCGAAAACUGGAGUGCCUGCUUUAGCCGCCGCUAGGUUGCAGAGGUGGGCAUUACUUUUUUCGGCUUACCAAUAUGAUAUCAGAUACAAGUCGUCUGCGGAACACACAAAUGCUGAUGGCCUUUCGAGAUUACCUUUGGGGUUGAUGGGACUUAUGUGUAAUGCAGAGUUCAAGGUCUCAUUUAUUGAGGCGAUUCCGAUAGAUCAAAAAGACAUAAAAACAGAAACCAAUAAAGACGAGGUUCUAAUGAAAGUGAAGUCAUUCACACUCAAUAGUUGGCCCAAAAGAAUGCCAGAGGAAAAACUAAAACCUUAUUGGUAUAGACGUGACGAGAUCACAGUAGAGGCUGAUUGUCUAUUGUGGGGGUUUCGGGUAAUCGUACCAGACUCAUUGAGACAUCAACUCUUAAAAGAACUACAUGAGUCACAUUUAGGGAUGGUCAAGAGUAAGGCAGUAGCCAGAAGCCAUUUUUGGUGGCCUAAAUUGGAUGAGGAUAUUGAAAAUAUGAUUAGUCAUUGCAAGGUCUGUGCAUUACAUCAAAAGAUGCCUAACACUGUACCUGUACAUCCUUGGAAAUGGCCUGAAUAUCCG